CAGGGCUUUCAUCAACCCAGAAAAACGUUAGAUGCAAUCUAUCCGGCAGGGGGCACCAACGAACCCCAAACGGCUGUCACUUCCUGCAAAGCGGCCUGGAUGAAAUCAGGUGGACCAGGGAACUUAGGGGUGCCUGGAAAUCCAAGACGCUAGCCUUAUGACAACCAUAUGAGGUGCGCACUGUAUCGCCAUUUGACAGAUAAUGAAGACACAGCACAGACAGAUGAAGUGGCUUUUCCCAGUCACACCACCUAGGGAGUGGAGGGUUUGAAUCCGGGCACUUUGGCUCCAGAGUCUGUGUGUGCCCAUUCCCCUGGAGACUGGGGAAGGCAGCAAAAGAGCACGAGUGCCCACAGCCCUGCCUCGGCUGCCUGACUCAGAGGCUUGCUGCCUUGCAGCCUCUAAAGGUGUGCUCUACAGGCGAACACCCCAAGCCUCUGCAUGCAUGCCCCAGGUAAGCGUGUGGAUGGUGCAGGCAUGUGUGUGCUGGGCCAGCUGCAGGCAGGGCUCAGGGCUGGCUCCAC
rnacentral:lncRNA from 1 species